rnacentral:lncRNA from 11 species
UUCAAACAAAGUUUUUGGUGUGGGCCAUGCCCAUGUGUCAAAUAUCACAUCGCGUUUUGCAAUUGCAAAGUGACCUGUGGGAAAAAAUAGAGUGUGGGGAGGACACGACAAAUGCUGCCACAGAAGUGUCUGGAGUUACUGCACAAGGCUGUUUCUGGCUGGAUUCAUGUUGGAGAUGACAUUGGGGAUAUACGUUUUGUGAACACUCCUACCUCGAGCGAGCUUCAAGAUGGAUUUUGGUGACUAUGUAGAAGUUUCAGGAAAACUGAAGCAGGUGAGUAAAAUAUAUUGUCAUGGUCUGCUGCAGUGUAUUUGUGCAAUGUGCAAAGCCA